rnacentral:rRNA from 1 species
UGGGGAAUAUUGCACAAUGGGCGAAAGCCUGAUGCAGCAACGCCGCGUGAGUGAUGAAGGUCUUCGGAUUGUAAAGCUCUGUCUUUUGGGACGAUAAUGACGGUACCAAAGGAGGAAGCCACGGCUAACUACGUGCCAGCAGCCGCGGUAAUACGUAGGUGGCGAGCGUUGUCCGGAUUUACUGGGCGUAAAGGGUGCGUAGGCGGAUGUUUAAGUG